AUUUAUAGGCUAUAUUAAUAUUUAUUUAAUUGUUUCUUCUGAUUUUUUUUUUUUUUUUUUUUUUUAGCAGAGGAAGUUGCAGUGACUGAACCUGUACCUGAGCCUGCACCAGAACCUGCACCUGCACCUGCACCAGAGCCUGAAGCUGUACCUGCACCUGAACCUACACCUGCACCUGCACCAGAGCCUGAAGCUGAACCUGCAAUACGUGUUAGGAGAGCCGGAGAAGCAGUACGAAGACGUUAUCGGAGGCUUUCGAUGACCCGUCAACAGCAAAGGAGGACGACCCGAGCCCCCCACACCUUCAGUGACAAGCAGCUAUACCUUCGAGGAAUCGUUGAUAUGUAUAAUGCAGGUAUCCAGGGAAUUAUUUCCGUAGCUCAAAACAUGUAAGGUGUGACAUUUUUUUUUGAAGGUGGGAUAAAAAAUAAAAACA